rnacentral:rRNA from 1 species
GUGCAAGCGCGGCGACGCGUUGAGCCGACCGGUACUAAUCGCCCGACAGGCUUGAUCGCUCCCGUGAU